UGGGGAAUUUUGCACAAUGGGGGGAACCUUGAUGCAGCGACGCCGCGUGAGGGAUGGAGGCCUUCGGGUUGUGAACCUCUUUCGCUCGUGUGCAAGCCGCUAUUUGGGUAGUGGUGAGUGUAGCGGGUAAAGAAGCGCCGGCUAACUACGUGCCAGCAGCCGCGGUAAUACGUAGGGCGCGAGCGUUGUCCGGAUUUAUUGGGCGUAAAGGGCUUGUAGGCGGUUUGUCGCGCCUGUCGUGUAAUCCUCUGGCUUAACUGGGGGUGUGCGGUGGGUACGGGCAGGCUUGAGUGCGGUAGGGGAGGUUGGAAUUCCUGGUGUAGCGGUGGAAUGCGCAGAUAUCAGGAGGAACACCGGUGGCGAAGGCGGGUCUCUGGGCCGUUACUGACGCUGAGGAGCGAAAGCGUGGGGAGCGAACAGG
rnacentral:rRNA from 1 species